rnacentral:tRNA from 1 species
GCAUCCGUAGCUCAGCUGGAUAGAGUACUCGGCUACGAACCGAGAUGUCGGAGGUUCGAAACGUCCCGGAUGCA